UACGAAGGGGGCUAGCGUUGUUCGGAUUUACUGGGCGUAAAGCGCACAUAGGCGGGUCGUUAAGUCAGGGGUGAAAUCCCGGAGCUCAACUCCGGAACUGCCUUUGAUACUGGCGACCUUGAGGCUGGAAGAGGUUAGUGGAAUUCCCAGUGUAGAGGUGAAAAUUCGUAGAUAUUGGGAAGAACACCAGUGGCGAAGGCGGCUAACUGGUCCAGAUCUGACGCUGAGGUGCGAAAGCGUGGGGAGCAAACAGG
rnacentral:rRNA from 1 species